rnacentral:pre_miRNA from 1 species
AAAAAGGCAAACCAUGGGUUCUCGUACCAAUGUUUGACUGUCCGUUUUAUAUUUAGUUAGUAUUUUUAUUGUUGUUAGAUGAUAAAACAUGAUUAAUAUUUUAUGCGUGACUUAUCUUUUUAAUUUUUUUCAUAAUUCUUUCAAAUAAGACGGACGGUCAAACGUUGGACACGAAAACCAGGGUU